rnacentral:rRNA from 1 species
CAGUCGCCACGGUAAUACGUAGGUGGCAAGCGUUGUCCGGAAUUAUUGGGCGUAAAGGGCUCGCAGGCGGUUUCUUAAGUCUGAUGUGAAAGCCCCCGGCUCAACCGGGGAGGGUCAUUGGAAACUGGGAAACUUGAGUGCAGAAGAGGAGAGUGGAAUUCCACGUGUAGCGGUGAAAUGCGUAGAGAUGAGGAGGAACACCAGUGGCGAAGGCGACUCUCUGGUCUGUAACUGACGCUGAGGAGCGAAAGCGUGGGGAGCGAACAGGAUUAGAUACCCCGGUAGUCCCUGUCUCUUAUAC